GUGUCAGCAGCCGCGGUAAUACGGGGGGAGCAAGCGUUGUUCGGAUUCAUUGGGCGUAAAGGGCGCGUAGGCGGCUCGGUAAGUCUGACGUGAAAUGCACCGGUUCAACCGGGGCGCUGUGUCAGAAACUGCCAGGCUUGAGGUCGAGGGAGGAAGGUGGAAUUCCUGGUGUAGCGGUGAAAUGCGUAGAUAUCAGGAGGAACACCCGUGGCGAAGGCGACCUUCUAUCUCGAUUCUGACGCUGAGGCGCGAAAGCUAGGGGAGCAAACGGGAUUAGAUACCCCGGUAGUCC
rnacentral:rRNA from 1 species